rnacentral:lncRNA from 10 species
AAAUUUAUAGUACUGAAGUACUAAUUUGUCAGAAAGAAUAUCUCAGUAUAAAUCUAUUCCUACACACUUGAUGCCUAGGAAUUCAUUAGUUUUUUAAGAUAAAAAAGUAAUGGUUAAGUCCAUAGUGUUAAACCCAAGAGACAGAAUUGCAAAUUACUUUGGGGAAAUUAAGGGGUUUCUGAGGAACACAUGCAUUGUCAACACUAAUAAUAAAAGGCAAAUGGGAGUGGGGGGAGUGGGAGGAGUAGGAGAAAUGAUAAAGUAUUCAUUGUGAUUUUAAUUCUGCUCUCCAAGUACAUUCUGGGAGUGACAGGUGUUAUCUACAUAAUAUUUUAACAUUCUUAUAUAUAAGCAGGAGCAAUUUCUUUUAACAUUUCUUAUAUGUAAGCAGGAGUAAUUUCAAUACCCCCAAAUUAUUAUCUAGAUUAGUUUUUCAUCACAAUUUACCUUAGUAAACAGUCCUUUGUUUACCUUCCCCCGCCCCCCAAAAGAGACACCCAGCCUGGGCGCAGUGGUGCAAUUAUAGCUCACUGUAACCUCAAACACUUGGGCUAAAGCCAUCCUCCUACCUUAGUCUCCAGAGUAGCUGGGACUACAGGCAUGUGCCACCAUAUCUAGCUUUUUCUUUUUCUUUUUUUUUUUUCUUUUUGAGACAGAGUCUUGCUCUGUAGCUG